CACUUUUUUCCCACCAUGGGAAAGUGCCAUUCCCCAGGACAGGUGGCAGUUCCAACUGGUUGAAGAAUAAGAUAAAAUAAAAAAUAAAAUUAGUUUUUUAAUCCUUUUUUUAUUUUUCUAGUUUGCCUCCCCCAAUUACAAACUCUUUCCACCUUCAGUUCAUCUUGCUCUAGACGAAUAAAAAGGGAAAAUCCAACAGCUUACAUUAUAUCAUCUUCUUUGUUGAUUUUUUAUUUUUAAUUCUUUCUACCUUCAUUCAACAGUUCAUCUUCUCCGUUGACUAUUUUAUCCCUUGACAAAUCCAAUGAAUCAAGCAAAAUCCAUCAGAUCUGUCACCGGUAAGUGCUUAUUUGUCAACGAACUCACAACCACAACAUCCUAUCUUCGAUUUACAACACGAAUCCGAAUCGGUUUUGACAAAUCUCCGAAUCCGAAUUCAUUUUUUUUUUUUGUUAAAUGAAGCUUGAAGAAUGAAAAAGAAGGAAACAAUAGGAUUAUAAGAAUGAAGAAGCUUUUUUUUUUUUUCAGCAAGGAAUAAUGGAAUGCAGAAGCUUGAAUGACAUAAGAACUUCUGGAAAAUACAAACAAGUCAAGUGUGAAGAACAGCUGUCUAGGGGCAACACCACAUAAUUGCUCGAAUUUUUUUAAAAUUAUCCAACACCACAACAAAUAAUAAUUAUUAUGAUUAUUUGUUUAAAAAUAUUUACUAAGUUUCAAAUUCCUACUAUCUAA
rnacentral:lncRNA from 1 species